rnacentral:tRNA from 1 species
GCCUCCUUGGUCAAGCGGUUAAGACGCCGCCCUCUCACGGCGGAAACAGGAGUUCGAUUCUCCUAGGGGGUG